GUAUGUGAAGACGAUCUGGCUAUGACAUCUGUCUCCCCAUUGAUCACCAGGGUUGAUUUGACUGAUCUGGCUGGCUAGGUGGGUGUCUCCUUCCUCCCUCACCACUCCAUGUGCGUCCCUCCCAAAGCUGCAUGCUAGGUCAAAACGAUGACCUUCCCCUAGUAGAGGAGGACCUGUCUUCAGUCAGGGGUGUACAAGUAGCUGCGCUCCUCUGCUAGAACCUCCAGACAAGCUCUCAAGACUUUGGAUUAGAACGUGUAAUUCACCGGGCAUGGUGGCACAGACUUUUAAUCCCAGCACUUGGGAGGCAGAGAU
rnacentral:snRNA from 1 species